rnacentral:piRNA from 1 species
UUUAUCAGUGUCGAAUCUGGC